AAUCAUUUAGCUAUUUUAAGUUUUUACCUUGAAAGUAUAAGAAAGAGAGACCUCUAAUGAUUU
rnacentral:tRNA from 1 species